UAUGACACACUUCUCCUAGUACGAAAGGACCGAAGAAGUGAGGCCAAUACCCCAGGCAUGCCUCCCCUCUAAGUAGUGAACCCAACUCAACUGCCAAGAGGCCCACAACCACCACAAAAUCCUAGAAAAGGACACAA
rnacentral:rRNA from 1 species